AGUUAUUCGGAUGAAGUUUCGGAUGGAUGAAGAAUAAUUCGUAGUGGCGAACGGGUGAGUAACACGUGAACAACCUGCCCUGAAGUGGGGGAGUAACGACUUGGAAACAAGUGCUAAUACCGCAUAAGACCACGACCCGGCAUCGGGAUGAGGUCAAAGAUUUAUCGCUUUAGGAGGGGUUCGCGUCCCAUUAGGUAGAUGGCGGGGUAACGGCCCACCAUGCCAACGAUGGGUAGCCGAGCUGAGAGGCUGAUCGGCCACACUGGAACUGAGACACGGUCCAGACUCCUACGGGAGGCAGCAGUGGGGAAUAUUGCACAAUGGGCGAAAGCCUGAUGCAGCGACGCCCGCGUGAGUGAAGAAGUAUUUCGGUAUGUAAAGCUCUAUCAGCAGGGAAGAAAGGCCCGAAAGGGAGAUGACGGUACCUGACUAAGAAGCCCCGGCUAACUACGUGCCAGCAGCAGC
rnacentral:rRNA from 1 species